CAAAAUAGAGCUCGGAUGAGUUUUUCAUUUACACUGAAAGAGAAGUUUAAUUAAACUUAUUUUGA
rnacentral:tRNA from 1 species